UACGUAGGGUGCGAGCGUUGUCCGGAAUUAUUGGGCGUAAAGAGCUUGUAGGCGGUUUGUCGCGUCGGCCGUGAAAUCUCCACGCUUAACGUGGAGCGUGCGGUCGAUACGGGCAUGACUGGAGUUCGGCAGGGGAGACUGGAAUUCCUGGUGUAGCGGUGAAAUGCGCAGAUAUCAGGAGGAACACCGGUGGCGAAGGCGGGUCUCUGGGCCGAUACUGACGCUGAGGAGCGAAAGCGUGGGGAGCGAACAGG
rnacentral:rRNA from 1 species